rnacentral:lncRNA from 1 species
ACAAAUUCCGACCAGAGGCGUCCUGUUCUGGUCUUCUAUUUAUUUUUCCCAAUCGAGUGUACUUAGUCAUCGAAGCCAACACCAAACAGCGCCUGCAAUAGGGAAAACAAAGAAAAAAACCGAACAUCAAAGAUGAACACAGACAUAACAGCUUCGGCCAAACCAGAGUACCCAGUUAUAGAUCGAAACCCUCCUUUCACCAAAGUCGUUGGCAAUUUCAACACCCU